AUUGAACGCUGGCGGCAUGCUUUACACAUGCAAGUCGAGCGGAUGCAGGGCGCUUGGUGCUGGCGUGAGGCGACCGCGGGUGUAUUGUGUCUGAACGUGCGCCGUCGAGGGGGGUAUAUCGUCGGAAAAGUGGCGCUUAUCGCCUACACGCUCUGAGUGAGAACGGGGGGCCGUAUCGGCUCGCACGCUUUGAGCUGCGGAUGUCUGAUUAGGUAGUUGGUGGGGUAAAGGCUCGCCAAGCCAACGAUCUGUAGCUGGUCUGAGAGGACGACCAGCCACACUGGAACUGAGACACGGUCCAGACUCCUACGGGAGGCAGCAGUGGGGAAUUUUGGACAAUGGGCGCAAGCCUGAUCCAGCAAUGCCGCGUGCAGGAAGAAGGCCUUCGGGUUGUAAACUGCUUUUGUACGGAACGAAACGGCGCUGGUUAAUACCCGGGGCUAAUGACGGUACCGUAAGAAUAAGCACCGGCUAACUACGUG
rnacentral:rRNA from 1 species